rnacentral:tRNA from 1 species
AUUUUGGUAGCUUAAAUUUAGAGCAUUAUAUUGAAGCUAUAAUUGAGGGAAUAUUACCCCCAAAAUA